UGAACAUAAUCAUCUGUGGAGAUGCAGUAUUACAGAGAAACAGUGUCUCAUCCUGACUUCAGCUCUGAAAUCAAACCCAUCACACCUGAGAGAACUGAAGCUGAGCGGGAAUAAACUAGGAGACUCUGGAGUGAAAAACCUCAGUGAUCUACUGAUGAACACACAAUGCAAGCUGGAGAAACUAGAUCUGUGUGGAUGCAGUAUUACAGAGAAACAGUGUCUCA